UCUUAUGAUCUUGAAAGAAAGGUCACAGGAUAGGAACAGCAUUGUCCGUCAGAUGGCUGUAAGAGGCCUGGGAAAUAUAGUCAAUGGGGCGCCUGUGAAGGUGAAAAAAUACAAGAAGUUUCUUCUGGACAUACUGAUCGGGCCUUACAUGACGUUUUCAGUUCUGAAGUGAUUGGUGAGAGCAUGAAAGCACUGGCCAAAGUCCUGAAGGAGCUGAAAGAGAAGGACAUUGGUUCUUCCUUCAAAAACCUCACCGAACAGAUCCGGGCCUACUUUGACGAUGAGAAUGAUGGUCUUCGCUCAGUGGCCUUUGUCCUAUUUGGCAUCCUGGCUCAGUUGACAAAGAAAAAAUGGAAGGCCUAUUUCGCUGAGCAGGUUCGAAAGAGCUGGGUCAUACUUCUGCUGCACCUGCAAGACCCAAGCCCCGAGGUUU